GACGAACGCUGGCGGCGUGCCUAAUACAUGCAAGUAGAACGCACAGUUUAUACCGUAGCUUGCUACACCAUAAACUGUGAGUUGCGAACGGGUGAGUAACGCGUAGGUAACCUGCCUGGUAGCGGGGGAUAACUAUUGGAAACGAUAGCUAAUACCGCAUAAUAUUAAUUAUUGCAUGAUAAUUGAUUGAAAGAUGCAAUUGCAUCACUACCAGAUGGACCUGCGUUGUAUUAGCUAGUAGGUGAGGUAACGGCUCACCUAGGCGACGAUACAUAGCCGACCUGGGAGGGUGAUCGGCCACACUGGGACUGAGACACGGCCCAGACUCCUACGGGAGGCAGCAGUAGGGGAUCUUCGGCAAUGGGCGAAAGGCUGACCGAGCAACGCCGCGUGAGUGAAGAAGGUUUUCGGAUCGUAAAGCUCUGUUGUAAGAGAAGAACGGGUGUGAGAGUGGAAAGUUCACACUGUGACGGUAUCUUACCAGAAAGGGACGGCUAACUACGUG
rnacentral:rRNA from 1 species